UCUCUCUUGGACAGAGACUUCACGUCAGCCGACACACGUUUACAACGAAUUUACACAGAACAUCACCGACAGCCGCAGUCGACCCAGAUUCGUAACCACAGCAUGUGCUGCAACAACCUGAAGCUGCAGUGAAAGUAGAGUUAACGUUCGACGCUUGUGCAUUGAGGAAGCGGCUGCCGCGUUUCCACCAUCUCACUGAGGAAUCCAGAGCACCACAACGCAAAGAUAACUACAAGUGUUGUAUGUGUGUGUUCCCCUCCCCCCCUUGUGUUCUCUUCAGGUGAAAUCAAUCGCCACCUAAACCGGCCAAUCCAACUCACCUGGGUGCAAGAAGGCGAGCUGGCCAAUCGGCUGAGAGGGCCCUGUUUAAAGCCGAGAAGACGGAAGACUUUGGGGUGGUGGUUUUUGGGGAGAGUGUUAAUGUGGACACUGCCACCGAGUGAUCGAAGGUUUGUGGUGAGAGGUUGUGGACAGUAGGUAAGUUUGGGGUACCCUGUACAUUUAUGCACUCAUGUAGGUACUAUGUGUCUAGAAACACUAGGUUAAUGGUUGUUGCUGCCUCUGUAUUGUUUUGACGCAAACUUUGUUAGAGAUGCUAGUGGAGCCAUUUUGUUUGUUUCUUUUCAGAGGUAGAUAGCCAGGCCUAGUUUUGUUAUCUUGAGUUCAUUUGUUUGGCGCAACUGUCCCGAUCUCUCCCACGUUAUUGAACCUUUGUCUUGUGUAUUAUAAAUAAAUAUUCUUUGACCACGAUACUCCUAAUUUUGAGCGUUUCCACUUAUUCUUUGACUGUCCUGUGUUCGUUCCCCCCGCUUAUCCCUUAGACCAAAAGGGGACGUAACAGUGAUAUAGAUGGCUGCUCUUCCAUUUGAAUACCCCAAUGGCGCUACGAAAGGGCUAAGGAAGAGGUUUAAAGACAGGACACUGCGUGGCAAUGAAGACAUUCUUUAUUACGAUAACCAUGAUUCUGGUGAAAAAGCAAACCUGAUUUUCUUCACCACAAACCUGAGAGAAUGGCAAAACGCAAUGGAGACACAGUAUGUUGAACUUCAGGAAAGUCAGACACAUUCCCAAAUCCUACUCAGUUCAGAGAAAUACGGUACCAUAUCGUUGUAUCAUAUUGGAAAAGUUGUGGUAAUGGGCAUGGCAUUAAUGAGAAGGUUUGAGUACGAUUUUCCAGAGAUGAGACAACGUACCCAGAGAACAAACCCACUCCCAGAAAUGGCAGCAUUAAACAUAAACAAUGAGGACAGUUCUCCCGACCAGCCAGAGGGCGCUCUUCCAACCCAAACCAACCCAUCCAUGCCAACCACACCUGAUGAUAUAGAUUGAUAAAAUAGUAAGAAGGAAAAUAAAUAUAUAAAAUGGAUAAUUCCAAGUAACUGCUUGUUAACGCUCUAAUUAUUAAGAUUAAUUUCAUGGAUAGGUAACUGGAUUGUAAAAUCAACUACAUAUUGUUUUCUGAUUUGUUAUUCAGUUUGUAAUUUACGCUACAACUUCUUUCUGGUGUUCAAAUAUUAGUUUAGAAUCGUGUCCCAAGAGUUAAAUCUAUACAGACUACGUAUCUUCUGAUCGAGUCUGGUGACCGUGUCUGAAUGUUGUGGGGAAGUAGAGUCGUCUUGUACUCACUGAGCAGGUGGUAGUUGGAGUCCCUCUCGUAUUUGAAGGUCAGUCUUCCAUAGCUGACAUGGUUGAGAUUCUUCAGCCACUCGAAAUAGGACACCGUCACACCGCCAGCAUUCAGGUACAUGUCCUGCAGGAUGAAACGCGUCACACACACACACACUUUGAUCUUUGCUCUUCUGUGUAUUGAAAUAUUUUUUAGGAACUUUCAUGUAUUUUUUCUUUUAAGAUUUUAUUUGGGAAGAACUGCAUUUCAGUUAAAUAAAAAGACACUGGAACUUUCUCAUGUAUUUUAAGACGUUAUGCUUUUGUGAAAGUGUAAAAUAAAAUAAAAAGUUAAGUAUAACACAUAAUCUGCAGAUAAAUCUGUUGCUUACACAAUAAAAGAUGGAUUUUAGUCAACAUAACUCUU